rnacentral:rRNA from 1 species
GAUCAUGGCUCAGGAUGAACGCUAGCUACAGGCUUAACACAUGCAAGUCGAGGGGCAGCAUGUUGGUUGCUUGCAACCGAUGAUGGCGACCGGCGCACGGGUGAGUAACGCGUAUCCAACCUACCCUUGUCCAUCGGAUAACCCGUCGAAAGGCGGCCUAACACGAUAUGCGGUUCACCGCAGGCAUCUAACGUGAACGAAAUGUGAAGGAGAAGGAUGGGGAUGCGU